rnacentral:rRNA from 1 species
AUGAACGCUGGCGGCGUGCUUAACCCAUGCAAGUCGAACGGAAAGGCUCCUGCUUGCAGGGGUACUCGAGUGGCGAACGGGUGAGUAACACGUGGGUGAUCUGCCCUGCACUUCGGGAUAAGCCUGGGAAACUGGGUCUAAUACCGGAUAGGACCACAUUUUGGAUGGUGUGGUGGAAAGUUUUUCGGUGUGGGAUGAGCUCGCGGCCUAUCAGCUUGUUGGUGGGGUAAUGGCCUACCAAGGCGUCGACGGGUAGCCGGCCUGAGAGGGUGUACGGCCACAUUGGGACUGAGAUACGGCCCAGACUCCUACGGGAGGCAGCAAUGGGGAAUAUUGCACAAUGGGCGCAAGCCUGAUGCAGCGACGCCGCGUGGGGGAUGACGGCCUUCGGGUUGUAAACUCCUUUCGCUAGGGACGAAGCGUUUUUGUGACGGUACCUGGAGAAGAAGCACCGGCUAACUACGUG